AGCUGAUCAUCAUCGUAAAUGAAGGAGUAGUUAGUUCCUCCCUUGCUGAGAUGGGAAUUCAUCUACUCUAUUAAUAGACUUUACUACCAUGGAGCAAAAAAGUAGAGAACUACUGUGAAAAUUAAAAGCCACUGUUCUCCUUUUGAGUGUUUACUCUCUGCAAAAUCCCAGCAGAACGAGUUAUCAGAAAAUGGAUGAAAGAAUGCCCUCUAGAGGCAGAAUUCAGCUGAAUAAAAUUCCCAGAUACAGAGAAGAAGAAUUGGAGAACAUAAACAUUACAGCCAUAUGGAGAAGAGUUGGCAUUGCUCAAGCCUCGUGUAAAUACAAACAAGGAAAUGCUGCCUUCUACGAUGCCUGUUAUAGCAAUGAAACUGUAUGAAUUUCAUCCAUGAUUUCUGACAUUUGAUCUUCGUAUAGGAGCAGAGGAUGCCAAGAGAAGAGGAGCCUCGUGUGAGACCUCAGCGGGUAGCUUCUAUCCUCCCUCAUUCUGCUUCAACAGGAGCAAGCAGACCAAGAAGAUGAGAUGAAUUCAUGGACUUUUGGAUAAUACACAGCUGAGACAGUCUACCAUGGAAGCAACUCCUACCACUUUGGAUAACACACACUGAGGAAGAUAUAGUCAUUUUUGGUGUCCCAGAGAAACAGCUGCAGUCCUCAGAGGGUUGUUAUGAGGAUGGUUUCAACACUGCUGCCUCUUUUUGCAACAUCAAAGUAUCCUUUGCAAAGAUUCUAUUCUUAUGUUUACAAACUAAUGAAGAAGCUCUACUUCUAGAGUUGUUCUAGAAGUGUUAUUAACCGAAAUGUGUAAAUAAGGAAGCAAUCUGAAGAACAAGAAGCUCAGUUGAUGGUAGUUUAAUUGAAAGCACUGCUUAAACAAAAGGAAGGGGGCACAGCUAACAAAAUGGAAAAGGGAAAAUCGGUAGAAAAGUAACAGUAGUUGUAAGCUGCUGUGAAACAACACAGACUAAAGAAAAUUGUGUUUAUGUUUUGGGUUUUGUUUUUGUUGCUAGUUUAUUGUUUUUAUAAUGAAUCACACAGAAAUGUAAGAGAAACCAGCAGCAAAGACCUGCAGUGAGAUACUGUGUAGAUUUGUAACGCAGUGCAAAUGCACACAAGUGUUAAAAUACAUUGUCCUAUUUUGAUUAGAGACUCAUGGCUACAACCUGGCUUAUCUCCUUACAUCUCAUACCAAGCAUGUAAGUCUGCAGAGCAUAAAACUGGCUGUACAUUUUGCUUGAGCACACUUGCAAUCCAUCUUGUAAAAAAAAAAAAAAAAAAAAAAAAAAAAAAAAAAAAAAAAACCCACAAAAAAACACACCAACCCUCGCAGCCAUGGGAAUAGUCACAGCCUUGUUAAUUUUCAGAAGUCCCCAGUGGGACAUCAUUUUCUUUUAUCUUUUCACAGAUAGCCCGUAGAAUCUUAUGCAUCUUGUGCUGGUUUGGUAUUGAGUGGGCUAUAGUUAUGUAUUAUUUAACACUUUGGCCAAGCCUUGGUUUCAUGAACAAUUCAUCUUCUGCUGUGUGCAUCUGCUCUAGUGAGUAAUGAAGGCGACCAGCCUACGAUUGUGAAGUGCCCCGGGUUCUCUCUCUUACCUAAUUCUGCUUAACGGCAUUUUGAGCUAAUUUUUCUCCUGCCUUUCCUUUGAGAUAAUUCUUUUCUCAGAUGCUGAAUAAUGUCUUCAUCUUACGUAUUGCCAUGACAGUGUCCAUAGGGAAGCUACAAAGCUCGCUAAUGCUGUCACACCCUGUAUUUACUGUUAGAAAUCCUGGUAAUGCAAAGUGCCUGGGGUCAAAGGGGCUACAGAUUUUAGUUUAUAUUUACAGGGAUCCUACUAGCUCUUCUGAUUUAUUGGUUUUUGUGAUCAGUUGGAUAAAUGAAGAUAUUCUGGAACCAUACAUGAAAUACUAAUCUUUUCAGCUUCGUCAUGAACCUUUGCUAAGUGCUAGGACAUUAUAUAAUAGUCUGUUGUUCAGCUAUUCCUCAGUUUUCAGAGGAAAAAAUAAUGUUUCAAAAUUAACUUCCUUAGGCUCUGUUUUUAUGGAAUAUGAGCAGUAUAUUUGCCUAACCUCCGCAGCUCAGAAUUUUCAGAGGGUUAGUCAAGGUAAAAUUGACAAUGUCUAUAUAAAAUGAUGACUAUGCUGAGUAUUUCUUAACUUGCCAGGAAUGGUGAUGACGUGGGGCUUUUUAAAAGCGUGUGUGUGUUUGUUUUUGUUGUUGUGCUUGAGCAAAGGCUCAAGCUUUUGUUGAGGUUUUUUGCCUACCUUUUUUGAUAGACUUCCUGCAUUGCCUGUCCAAAUAUAUUUGCUGCUGUGUGAGAGAUUUCUGUUAUAUUAUUCUAUAAGUUUCUCUCCUUCCAGAAUGAAAUAUCAAGCUGAGGCUAAACUGUAAAAAUAAUGUGUAAACCCAAUUAGGUUAGAUUUCAACUGGGGCUUAUUGGUUAAACUGUAGGAGAGACAUGUUCAGUUUGUACUCUCUGGACAGAGUGUGUACAUCUCACUUAAAAUGGAUGAAAGUAUAUUGAUUUGUGCACAUUGAGAACAGGGCCCUUGCUUUAGCUCAGCAGCUUCAUGGGUCUUGAGUUGGACAGACUUCUCUGUAUGAAUUAACUGCAGUAAGAAGAGGGGGGGAAAGGGAGUUCAUCCUAAUGUUAGUAUUUGUCAGUGUCUCUUUGCAGAGUACUAAAAUGACAAGGAUUGGUUCAGUGACCAUCUUGUAUGGUAUGUUGACACUGAAAAGCAUAACACUGCCACUGCAUACUUCUGCUUUCCGUUCCUUGUUUCUGUAUCAGCACAGCACGCAUGUACUCAUGCACACGACAUACAAUUUGUGCCAUUAAUGAAACCGCAGGAAAAUGACUCAGGUGUGGCUUAGAAGGAGGUGAAAAUGCAUGCAUCCAUACAAGUGUGUGUUAGGAAGAUGGGAUUUGCAAUAUUUUUGUUUUAUAAGUAAACUUUUACUCUUUUUUUUUUUUUUUUUUACUGAACAGUUAAGAAAAUAAAAAAAUGAAUCGCCUAACACCAUGUGAGGUGAUGUUCAGAGCAGCAUAGGCUGUUCUAAUGGCUGAUUUUAAUAAUAAAAGACAACAGGGGACUAAAAGGUGUGGUGUGGUAAGCUGAGAAACACAUUCCUUUCCCCAGAGGGUGUACUUAGCUUUGUGCCUUUGAUCACUUGAGAAGUACCAUCAGAGUGCAAAAUGGCAGGCACUAGGGAACAUUACGGCAAUUAUAAGGUGAUCGUUUUUAAAAAAUCAAAAGAAGUUUGAACUUAUUUGGGAGCUUUUUCCCAUUCAAGUCUGCUUGCAUCUGAACGGUAAGAUGCUGUAUUAGAUAAAAUAUGCACACUUCAGUGGGACUGUUCUUCAGAUAUUGACUCCGAAGUUAGCUCUGGUGCUGAACAAUCUGUACAGAACAGGC
rnacentral:lncRNA from 1 species